AAAAAAAUCAGAAGGACAAAGAUUUCAUCCCUUCGUCUUCUUUGGGAGUCAAAGAAGCGUAAGACAGAAAAAAAAAAAAAAAAAAAAAAAAAAAAAAAAAAAAANGCAAGGCCAUCACAAUAGAAGCAGAAGCACAGGCUCAGCUUCACCACUCUUCUUCUUCGUCUUCGCUGCCGUCCCUCUUCCGAUCUACUUUUCCGGUUUACUCGGCGAGAUCUCUUCGUUUCAGUUAUGAUCUCGCCGCCAUUAAUACACGUCCGUGCUUACAAAGUAAUUCUUAUGAUUCAACGAAGAAAAACAGAAAGAGAAGAAGAUUUUUGGUGAUAGAAGGACAGUACCGGAGAUGGUGGUGGAGGAGAGCGGCGGAGGAGAGCGUCGGAGAGUUGUAAUUUUUUUGGUUUAUUUUGUUUUUAAGGAAAAAAA